rnacentral:rRNA from 1 species
UGAGCAACCUGCCCUUGACCCUGGAAUAACAGCUGGAAACAGCUGCUAAUACCGGAUAUGACCUCCGAUGGCAUCAUCUGGAGGUGGAAAGCUCCGACGGUCAAGGAUGGGCUCGCGGCCUAUCAGCUUGUUGGUGAGGUAACGGCUCACCAAGGCAACGACGGGUAGCUGGUCUGAGAGGAUGGCCAGCCACAUUGGGACUGAGACACCGGCA